ensembl:lncRNA
GUCUCAUCCAGCUUCAAUGAACGAAACAUUCCAGCAUCUUCCUCCAGUACCUGUGAAUGCUGCAUUGUCUUCUCCCUGUGGCUUUUGUUUUUGAAAGCUCAUAAAGAGGAACCCAGGAAGUCAGGAGACAGCAGGGUGACCAUUUCCGUCCCCAGAACAGCCUUCAGCCAGUUUCUACAUGCCUCUUGCCAGGGACCAAACUGGCACCUAGGCUGCCCCGGAGGACGCAGAAAACCAGGACCCGGCUGGGGGCUGAAAUGUACUCCAUUGAAGAAUCCUCUGGCCUCCUCAGCACUGGAAGGACCAGCCAGCGGCAGUGAGAGUUUAUCAUUUGGAGGGAGGAGCAAGUCCUUCAGGCUGCCUGGAUUCCAGAACGAAGCUCUUUUUGAAAGAAGAGGCGAGGCCCCUUUCCGAGAAGUAAGCCCCCCAGCGUGGCUUUGAAGAGCUUUGCUGACAUUGUUACAAGAGGGCAAGAUGAGCUCACAAACCCCCAAGCCAUGGAUCACUUGGCCAGAAAAUCAUAAAGUAGAG